UCAAGAAAAUGUUGAUGAUUGGUUGUGUGUUCCAACUGUGGAUGAACGCGAGACUCUGUCAAUUUCAUCAUCCUAUCCAUGGAAUUCAGAAAAUGACGACUAAUUUCAAUCUCAGCUCCAGUCUUAUCAACAACAAUAUUCUAAUGAUAACAGUUUUGAUGAGUAUUGGUUCUGUAACCCUAGUGGAGAUGACUGCAAUACAACAUCAACAUCAUAUCCAUCGAGUCCAUUAACGACACUCGAUGAUCUGACUAGUUUUUACGAAUAUUACUCUCAGCAGCCUCAUCAAAUAGGUGCAGACUGCAAUGCAGCAACUUCUUCAUACUGGAACGAAUGUGGAACCAUAUCGACGUGCAUCGAAGGGGGCACGAAUGCCAACAGGGGUAUCUAUGCCUGAUGGUCAUGAUACACUUCUUGCUGCUCAGCUGCGCGAUCAGUGUGACUAAAGUGGCGAUGACGAGGAAAUAUGGAAAUCAGUGAAAUUGCAUAAAGCUUCUGAUUCACCUAGGCUGUAUAUGUCCCUGACUGUAAUUCGUAAUUCUAGUUACUCUUAUUGGUCUUAUUUUCAAAACAUUUUUGCCUCAUAUUGUAAGAUGAAAUUGCAUAUAAAGCUAUAAGUAACACGCAAUUAGAACCAUUCCUGUGUGGAAAUGUAUAUUUUGAUUCUGAUAUAGCUUAUAGCUAGAUUCGUAGGAUAUGGCAGUUCUUAAUCAAGUCAGAAUAAAA
rnacentral:lncRNA from 1 species